GAGCCAAAAUGAGAUAUGGGGAGAUAAAGAUGCUAUGUGCGCAACGGCUGCCAUUUGCUGCAAGAUGCCCCCGAGGGGAGCAGGUUGUGAUAGAGAGCCACAAAUUUACACUUCGAAUGUUUUCCGAGUAAGUAAAACAACAGCCGUGUCUCGCGCAAGACAGGUUCAACCAGCCGUUCUGUUCCAACGCAUGCUGGGAGUGAAGUCGAACGAGAAUGAUUCAAGCCCUGGACCCGUGCCAGCACCGAUACCUCGGCUGUUUCCUGCGGUGCGGGCUCUGGGUGACCCCCGUGGCGGGCGUGUUAGAACAUGCAUGGAGAUAGUUUCAGAGAGGGAUGACCUUUAAAAAUUCUCACGACACAGUCUAACUCUACUCUCCCAGUUCAGCCUCCUGAAGAAACACUGAAGGGACUAAAACAUGUUUCUGCCCGAACAAAACUAAAGAUUCACAGCUGUUGAGCUAGAACAAAAAAAGUUCCUCUAUAUAAAAUCUUCUGUUCUGUUCCUAGUUCAGUCACUGUAGGCCAGUACAGAGCUCAAAUAUGUAGAAAUAAAAAGAAAGAGAGAAGAAAUAUUGCACCUUUAAGGUGAAAUAGUGUUGUUUUGGACUGGCAUGGUGGCAAUAAGGACAGGUAUGGUACGCUCGCUCACAUACACGCACACACAAAAAGAAACCUGCAGAUGGUGUGCCUCCCUGUAAAGAGACAGAGCGUGCAAGCGUGAGAAAAAAACUAAACAGAGGCAGUCAGCCACAUGGAGAAUGAAAAAACAGAAAAAUGAGCAACA